GUUACCUACGGGAGGCAGCAGUGAGGAAUAUUGGUCAAUGGGCGGGAGCCUGAACCAGCCAAGUCGCGUGAGGGAAGAAGGUACUGAGUAUUGUAAACCUCUUUUGCCGGGGAGCAAGGGCGGGGACGUGUCCCGGCCCGGAGAGUACCCGGAGAAAAAGCAUCGGCUAACUCUGUGCCAGCAGCCGCGGUAAUACGGAGGAUGCGAGCGUUAUCCGGAUUUAUUGGGUUUAA
rnacentral:rRNA from 1 species